GACGAACGCUGGCGGCGUGCUUAACACAUGCCAGUCGAACGAUGACGACCGAGCUUGCUCGGUCUGAUUAGCGGCGAACGGGUGAGUAACACGUGAGCAACCUGCCCUUCACUCUGGGAUAACCUCGGGAAAUCGGGGCUAAUACCGGAUAUGAGCUCCUGUCGCAUGGCGGGUGUUGGAAAGUUUUUCGGUGAAGGAUGGGCUCGCGGCCUAUCAGUUUGUUGGUGAGGUAGUGGCUCACCAAGGCGAUGACGGGUAGCCGGCCUGAGAGGGCGACCGGCCACACUGGGACUGAGACACGGCCCAGACUCCUACGGGAGGCAGCAGUGGAAUAUUGCACAAUGGGCGAAAGCCUGAUGCAGCGACGCCGCGUGAGGGAUGACGGCCUUCGGGUUGUAAACCUCUUUCAGCAGGGAAGAAGCGAAAGUGACGGUACCUGCAGAAGAAGCGCCGGCUAACUACGUG
rnacentral:rRNA from 1 species